rnacentral:rRNA from 1 species
UAAUACGGAGGGUGCGAGCGUUGUCCGGAAUCACUGGGCGUAAAGGGCGCGUAGGCGGCCUGGCAAGUCAAUGGUGAAAGCCCGAGGCUCAACUUCGGGUCGGCCACUGAUACUGCUAGGCUUGAGUCGACUAGAGGCAGAUGGAAUUCCGGGUGUAGCGGUGGAAUGCGUAGAGAUCCGGAAGAACACCGGUGGCGAAGGCGGUCUGCUGGGGUCGAACUGACGCUGAGGCGCGACAGCGUGGGGAGCAAACAGGAUUAGAUACCCUGGUAGUCCACGCCGUAAACGAUGGGCACUAGGUGCUUGGGGGAGCGACCCCUUGAGUGCCGGCGCUAACGCAUUAAGUGCCCCGCCUGGGGAGUACGGCCGCAAGGCUG